AGCCAAUAAUGACAUACCAGUUGAAGAAAUCCAUUCUCCAUUUACAACAAUACUUCUGAGAACAUUUUUGAAUUACCUCCUGCGUUUGGUGUACCACAUUUAUCACGAAGAAUUCCAAAAGAGAAGCCCAUCGCUCUUCUUGUGUUUUACAAAACUGAUGACCGAGAACAUUCAUCCAAAUGCCUGCCAGAUAAAAGGCAAUUUAUUCCGUGAGCAACAGCGGACGCUCUACUCUAUGAAUUACAUGAAUAAGUGCUGGGAGAUCUAUCUAGCUUACUGCAGACCCCGCGCAGCGCCUCCCCACGAGCCUACGAUGAAGAUGAGACACUUCCUCCGGAUGCUGAAAGUAACCACCUAAGUUCAAUACUGGCUUUCUAUUUACAGGCACUUUGAUUUUAAUUAAAGAGAGGCAAGAUAUUCCAGCUAUGACAUGCAA